AGGCUCUCGCAUCGAUGAAGAACGCAGCGAACUGCGAUAAGUAAUGUGAAUUGCAGAAUUCAGUGAAUCAUCGAAUCUUUGAACGCACCUUGCACCCCGUGGUAUUCCGCGGGGUACGCCUGUUUGAGUGUCACGUUCAUCCUCGCAUCAAAGACUUUAUUGACUUUGAUACGGAUUUGGAGGUCUGCCGUAGUCGGCUCCUCUUGAAAUGUAUUAGCUGUCUAAGGAUUGCGCAUGAGUGUGAUAAUUCCAUGUCUCGCAUGUGCACAGUCUGGUGAAGGCUCAUAAAGCACCCUAAAUUUUUGUGACUUUGGCCUCAAAUCAGGUGGGACUACCCGCUGA
rnacentral:misc_RNA from 1 species